GGGGCUUUGGUUUUAACCUUUAUUAUUUUUAUUUUCAGAGUUAAGUUAAGUAAAUAUCAAAAUUUAAACAGAUAUAACACACCACAGUAUGCAAAAAAUUUGGAAGACAGACCACUUCGUAUCACAACAAUCUGACUAUGUUACAUGAAAAUACUUUUUUUCUCUAUUUUUUGGGGUGAAAGGGAAUGGAAAAAUCAAACUAGCGAUUGCUAUAGCAAUUAGAUAUUACGGAGACAUGGGUCGUCGUUUCAACUCAAGACCGAGUCAAACGAUAGUUACAUUGUUGUUAAAAUGUGUUCCGAAAAAUAAUGUUUUGUAUUGUUAAACAUCAAAUUUGGUGAGAGACAAAAAGUUUUAUUUCCCAUCAUUAUUGUUAUACACACACAUUGAUUGACAUAUAACGAAUUCUUAAAACUUUUUCG
rnacentral:lncRNA from 1 species